GGGAGGCAGCNGUAGGGAAUUUUCGUCAAUGGGCGCAAGCCUGAACGAGCAAUGCCGCGUGAACGAGGAAGGUCUUCGGAUCGUAAAGUUCUGUUGAAGGGAAAAAGAGCGGAGAGAGGAAAUGCUUUCUGAUUGAUAUUACCCUUCGAGGAAGUCACGGCUAACUACGUGCC
rnacentral:rRNA from 1 species